rnacentral:rRNA from 1 species
UACGAAGGGUGCGAGCGUUGUUCGGAAUUACUGGGCGUAAAGGGUUUGUAGGCUGAAAUGUAAGUCAAGUGUGAAAUCCCCGAGCUAAACUUGGGACGUGCAUUUGAAACUGUGUUUCUUGAGUAUCGUAGAGGGUGGUGGAAUUGUAGGUGUAGGAGUGACAUCCGUAGAGAUCUGCAGGAACAUCAGAGGCGAAGGCGACCACCUGGCCGAUUACUGACGCUGAGGAAC